CCUCCUUUGUUCCUCCUUCUUUCCUCUUCCUCCCUUUUGUGCCCCCUGCCCGCGCCACGCCGCGUGAACGAAGAAGUUAUUCGUAAUGUAAAGUUCUUUUAACAGGGAAGAAAGAGAAAUUUGACGGUAACUGAAGAAUAAGCUCCGGCUAACUACGUGCCAGCAGGCGCGGUAAUACGUAGGGAGCGAGAGUUAUCCGGAAUUAUUGGGCUAAAAGGGUGCGUAGAUGGCAUAGUAAGUCUUUUGUAAAAAUGCUGGGCUAAACCCAGUAGGGCAAGAGAUACUGCAAAGCUAGAGUAUGACAGAGGCAAGUGGAACUACAUGUGUAGCGGUAAAAUGCGUAAAUAUAUGUAAGAACACCAGUGGCGAAGGCGACUUGCUGGGUCGAUACUGACAGUGAGGCACGAAAGCGUGGGGAGCAAACAGGAUUAGAUACCCCAGUAGUC
rnacentral:rRNA from 1 species